CUUGAUUUAUUUGAGUCAUCAGAAUAAGUAUGGCGAUUAGUAGCCCUCUCAAAUUUAGAAUCUAUGCCAUUCCGAUUGUUUACAUGCUCGUCAUCCUUUGACGACAAUUCACCUUCUUCAUUCGACAUGUUUGCCUCAGUUGUUUUUGGCUUAUGAUCCUUUCCGGUGUCAGCUUCUUUUCCUAAGUGAUCAGUUGGAGAUUUUUUCCUCACAUCAAGAUUCUCCAAUUUCUUUUCAGCAAGAGUUGAGUUAUUGGUUUUUCGUGCAGAAAAACAAUGAUCAGCUUCUUUAUCAUCAGAACUGCUACUGGUACUACUAAUCUCUGUAUCACUAGAACUUCCAGAAGUCCAUUUAGACUUGCGCUUUGAUCGCUUAUCACGCCGGACUCUCUUCCUCUCCCUCCGACCAUCCCUUCGUUUCCUCCCACGUAGGCGUCUAUCUCUUUUUACUGACCUCCUCUUCCUAACUCGCCUUCCAUCACUAGAUGAACCAGAAUCAGAUAGUGAGGAAUCUGAAACUGAUUCUGAAUCUGAAUCAGUACCAGAAUCUGAAUCGUAGUCAGAACUGUAUGAAUCAGAUGAUGAGUAUCUCUUUUUUCUUUUCUUUCUUUUAUCCUUCAGGGAUUUUUUUUGCUUUCCUCUAGUUUGUCCAUCAGAACUAUCACCAGAAGGAGCCUUCCCUGAUUUCUUCUUCUUUCCUGCAUUUCCAACAGCAUCCUGAAUUUUAUUUUCAGAGGUUUCACCACAAUCUACAAUUUUUACAGGGUGGAUGGGUUUUCCAUCACCUGUUCCCACCUGUUCAAUUUUUUUCACAACAUCCAUUCCUUUUAUGACCUUUCCAAAGACAACAUGUUUCCCAUCCAGGUGGGGCUGACGUUUAAAAGUUAUGAAGAAUUGGGAACCAUUUGUGUUUGGACCACUAUUUGCCAUAGAAAGAAGACCUGGUCCAUCAUGCUUCAGUAUAAAAUUCUCAUCUGCAAACUUCCCUCCAAAUAUACUUUCUCCACCAGUGCCAUUUCCCUUUGAAAAGUCACCACCUUGGGCCAUGAAUCCUCUAAUAAUUCGAUGGAAAAAGGAUCCUUUAUAGUGGAGAGGUUUGCCAGUUGUUUUGCCAUUGCCCUUUUCACCUGUACAAAGUGCCCGGAAAUUAUCUGCAGUCUUGGGAACAACAUCGGCAAAAAGCUCAAUAGCAAUUCUUUCAACAGGAUCUCCAUCAAUUGACACAUCAAAAAAUACAAGAGGGUUCUUUUUCUUGUUCAUCUCUCCUAUCUCUUGCAGGAGGCUAAUUGAACUAGGGAUU
rnacentral:misc_RNA from 1 species